GGGUCUUUCUGACUAGAAUCGACUUCUAAUAAGUCACUUCUAUGAAUAAUCCAAACUCCUUAUCUGCGGACCACUGCUGAUUGCAUUGGGUAGUCUCUCUCCCUAUUGUACUAUUUCCCCUUUUCUAGCAUCCCAUUCUGUCGAUCCAACUUCUUAAUAUUACUCUUUCUCCUUUCAGCAUUGCUAUUCUAUGAUAUGAUCUUGUAUCAGCGUCUCCUUCCUUAACUCAUUUGAUUAUUGUUUUUAGCCUCCAAACUCCUGUCCACUAAGAGCACUUCCUCAAGUCAGGUUUUAACUUAGAUAAGCUACUCUCUUGUGCUUGCAAAAUGUCAUCCUUAGAAGCCAAUCUAUUCAACUCUUUCAUCUCUUCCAGUGUCCUUGCUUUCCUUAGACCUAUGUUCUAUACCUCCUUGUUCUAUGUUUUUUAUUUCUCCUAUAUAUAUUGCAACUUCUUCACAAAUUUGUAUCCCUCCAUCACUCAUUCUUGUCACCAUUCCGUCACUCUCGAUGCAAAAUUUUGUUGUUGUGGCCACACGUUUUCAUCAAGCCAACGUAACAUGCUGGAAUACAAGCAUGAUGGUAAAAUGAUCUAACAUAAGAUAACGAAGAAUCUCUUGUAUCAAAUUUGAAAAUCUAUUCUCCCAGGAUGUAGAGACUAGGAACGCUCUAUGCUUGAUGAACAUGUCCCUUUCUUAACCACAUACCAUGUAUGUUGUGCAUUUGCUAGGUGCAUAUCUGUCAACUCAUGGCCUUGGAUAAGAUCAUUGAUGCUCCUCACUAAUUUUUUGGAUCAUGUCCCUC
rnacentral:lncRNA from 1 species